UACGGGGGGGGCAAGCGUUGUUCGGAAUUACUGGGCGUAAAGGGCUCGUAGGCGGCCAACUCAGUCGGACGUGAAAUCCCUCGGCUUAACCGGGGAACUGCGUCCGAUACUGGAUGGCUUGAGUGUGGGAGAGGGAUGCGGAAUUCCAGGUGUAGCGGUGAAAUGCGUAGAUAUCUGGAGGAACACCGGUGGCGAAGGCGGCAUCCUGGACUACUACUGACGC
rnacentral:rRNA from 1 species